rnacentral:rRNA from 1 species
AUGAUCAAAUUGGCCCUUUUUGGAGACGAAAAAGGACUGAGACAGGGAGACCCUUUCUCCCCCAUUCUUUUUAAUAUUGCCAUCGAUAUACUUAAUUUGCUUUUAGCUAAGGCACAAAAUAUGGACCUUAUCCAAGGGUUAGCACAAGAUUUUGUUCCAGAUGGCAUUAAUAUGUUACAAUACGCUGAUGACACCAUUUUCAUGUUUAGACACAAUCUGGAAAGUGCUAGAAACUUGAAAUUAUUCUUUGUUUAUUUGAACAAUUGUCUGGCCUUAAAGUUAAUUUUCACAAGAGAGAGUUUUUUUGUUUUGGUGAAGCAAAGGACAAACAGGAAAAUUACUCUACAAUAUUUACUUGUGCUGUAG